UACGUAGGUGACCAGCGUUGUCCGGAUUUACUGGGCGUAAAGAGCGCGCAGGCGGUCGUUCAAGUCGAGUGUGAAAGCCCCCGGCUCAACUGGGGAGGGUCACUCGAUACUGAUCGACUUGAAGGCAGGAGAGGGAAGCGGAAUUCCCGGUGUAGUGGUGAAAUGCGUAGAUAUCGGGAGGAACACCAGUGGCGAAGGCGACUACCUGGCCUGUUCUUGACGCUGAGGCGCGAAAGCUAGGGGAGCAAACGGGGAUUAAGAA
rnacentral:rRNA from 1 species